rnacentral:rRNA from 1 species
UACGGAGGGUGCAAGCGUUAUCCGGAUUCAUUGGGUUUAAAGGGUGCGUAGGCGGGAUAGUAAGUCAGUGGUGAAAACCUGCAGCUUAACUGCAGAACUGCCAUUGAUACUGCUAACCUAGAGUACAGCUGAUGUGGGCGGAAUGUGUCGUGUAGCGGUGAAAUGCUUAGAUAUGACACAGAACACCGAUUGCGAAGGCAGCUCACAAAACUGUAACUGACGCUGAGGCACGAAAGCGUGGGGAUCGAACAGG